CAUCUGCCACAUACAAAAACUAUCUUCCUAGUUAGCCUUCCUUUGACAUUGCUGCACCUCUUAUGUUGUCCACAGCUUACACUGGGUACAUCUUAUGGAGUUUCUACCUAUGCCUUUCCUAGGGAUCAAACAGGGCCAUCUAUCUGAAGGGAUUUGUAAUUUGCCUGCCAUCCAACUUACU